rnacentral:rRNA from 1 species
GAACGCUGGCGGCGUGCUUAACACAUGCAAGUCGAACGGAAAGGCCCUGCUUUUGUGGGGUGCUCGAGUGGCGAACGGGUGAGUAACACGUGAGUAACCUGCCCUUGACUUUGGGAUAACUUCAGGAAACUGGGGCUAAUACCGGAUAGGAGCUCCUGCUGCAUGGUGGGGGUUGGAAAGUUUCGGCGGUUGGGGAUGGACUCGCGGCUUAUCAGCUUGUUGGUGGGGUAGUGGCUUACCAAGGCUUUGACGGGUAGCCGGCCUGAGAGGGUGACCGGCCACAUUGGGACUGAGAUACGGCCCAGACUCCUACGGGAGGCAGCAGUGGGGAAUAUUGCACAAUGGGCGGAAGCCUGAUGCAGCAACGCCGCGUGCGGGAUGACGGCCUUCGGGUUGUAAACCGCUUUCGCCUGUGACGAAGCGUGAGUGACGGUAAUGGGUAAAGAAGCACCGGCUAACUACGUGCCAGCAGCCGCGGUGAUACGUAGGGUGCGAGCGUUGUCCGGAUUUAUUGGGCGUAAAGGGCUCGUAGGUGGUUGAUCGCGUCGGAAGUGUAAUCUUGGGGCUUAACCCUGAGCGUGCUUUCGAUACGGGUUGACUUGAGGAAGGUAGGGGAGAAUGGAAUUCCUGGUGGAGCGGUGGAAUGCGCAGAUAUCAGGAGGAACACCAGUGGCGAAGGCGGUUCUCUGGGCCUUUCCUGACGCUGAGGAGCGAAAGCGUGGGGAGCGAACAGGCUUAGAUACCCUGGUAGUCCACGCUGUAAACGGUGGGUACUAGGUGUGGGGUCCAUUCCACGGGUUCCGUGCCGUAGCUAACGCUUUAAGUACCCCGCCUGGGGAGUACGGCCGCAAGGCUAAAACUCAAAGGAAUUGACGGGGCCCCGCACAAGCGGCGGAGCAUGCGGAUUAAUUCGAUGCAACGCGUAGAACCUUACCUGGGUUUGACAUGGAUCGGGAGUGCUCAGAGAUGGGUGUGCCUCUUUUGGGGUCGGUUCACAGGUGGUGCAUGGCUGUCGUCAGCUCGUGUCGUGAGAUGUUGGGUUAAGUCCCGCAACGAGCGCAACCCUUGUUCACUGUUGCCAGCACGUUAUGGUGGGGACUCAGUGGAGACCGCCGGGGUCAACUCGGAGGAAGGUGGGGAUGACGUCAAGUCAUCAUGCCCCUUAUGUCCAGGGCUUCACGCAUGCUACAAUGGCUGGUACAGAGAGUGGCGAGCCUGUGAGGGUGAGCGAAUCUCGGAAAGCCGGUCUCAGUUCGGAUUGGGGUCUGCAACUCGACCUCAUGAAGUCGGAGUCGCUAGUAAUCGCAGAUCAGCAACGCUGCGGUGAAUACGUUCCCGGGGCUUGUACACACCGCCCGUCAAGUCAUGAAAGUUGGUAACACCCGAAGCCGAUGGCCUAACCGUUGUGGGGGAGCCGUCGAAGGUGGGACU